GACGAACGCUGGCGGCGUGCUUAACACAUGCAAGUCGAACGGAAAGGCCCUGCUUUUGUGGGGUGCUCGAGUGGCGAACGGGGGAGUAACACGUGAGUAACCUGCCCUUGACUUUGGGAGAACUUCAGGAAACUGGGGCUAAUACCGGAUAGGAUCUCCUGCUGCAUGGUGGGGGUUGGAAAGUUUCGGCGGUGGGGGAUGGACUCGCGGCUUAUCAGCUGGUUGGGGGGGUAGUGGCUGACCCAGGGUUUGACGGGUACCCGGCAUGGGAGGGUGGACGGCGUCAUGGGGCCUGAGAUAGGGCCCAGACUCCAACGGGAGGCAGCAGUGGGGAGUCUUGCACAGUGGGCGGAAGCCUGUUGCAGAGGCGCCGCGUUCGGAAUGACGGCCUUCGGGUUAUGAACAGCUUUCGCCUGUGACGAAGCGUUAGUGACGGUAAUGGGUCAAGAAGCACCGGCUAACUACGUG
rnacentral:rRNA from 1 species